rnacentral:rRNA from 1 species
GCUUAACACAUGCAAGUCGAGCGGUAAGGCCCUUCGGGGUACACGAGCGGCGAACGGGUGAGUAACACGUGGGUGAUCUGCCUUGCACUCUGGGAUAAGCCUGGGAAACUGGGUCUAAUACCGGAUAUGACCUUCGGCUUCCUGGUCGAUGGUGGAAAGAUUUAUCGGUGCAAGAUGAGCCCGCGGCCUAUCAGCUUGUUGGUGGGGUAAUGGCCUACCAAGGCGACGACGGGUAGCCGGCCUGAGAGGGCGACCGGCCACACUGGGACUGAGACACGGCCCAGACUCCUACGGGAGGCAGCAGUGGGGAAUAUUGCACAAUGGGCGGAAGCCUGAUGCAGCGACGCCGCGUGAGGGAUGACGGCCUUCGGGUUGUAAACCUCUUUCGACUCCGACGAAGCGAGAGUGACGGUAGGAGUAUAAGAAGCACCGGCCAACUACGUGCCAGCAGCCGCGGUAAUACGUAGGGUGCGAGCGUUGUCCGGAAUUACUGGGCGUAAAGAGCUUGUAGGCGGCUUGUCGCGUCGAUCGUGAAAACUCGGGGCUCAACCCCGAGCUUGCGGUCGAUACGGGCAGGCUUGAGUACUUCAGGGGAGACUGGAAUUC